AAUAGCCGCGGUACUUUGACCGUGCAAAGGUAGCAUAAUCAUUAGUUUCUUAAUUAGGAGCUGGAAUGAAUGGUUUGACGAAAAAUUAACUGUCUCUUAAUAAAUUCUAGAAUUUAACUUUUAAGUCAAAAGGCUUAAAUUUAUCUUUAGGACGAGAAGACCCUAUAGAGCUUGACAUUUAUAUUAUUUAUUUUUUUUAGAUUAUUUUAAAAUAAAAAUUUUUAAUGUUUUGUUGGGGUGACAUAAAGAAUGAAUAAACUCUUUAUUAUUAAAUCAUUGAUUUAUGUUCAUUUGAUCCAUAAUUUAUGAUCAUAAGAUUAAGUUACCUUAGGGAUAACAGCGUAAUUUUAUUUUAGAGCUCAUAUUAACAAUAAAGUUUGCGACCUCGAUGUUGGAUUAGGAUUAAUUUUGGGUGCAGUUGCUCAAUAAUUAGGUCUGUUCGACCUUUAAAUUCUUACG
rnacentral:rRNA from 1 species